UUAGCUACAGCUUGGCAGAGCAUGAGACUUGUAAUCUCAGGCUCAUGGGUUCAAGCCCCCCUUGGGCAAAG